rnacentral:rRNA from 1 species
CCUACGGGAGGCUGCAGUGGGGAAUUUUGCGCAAUGGGGGGAACCUUGACGCAGCGACGCCGCGUGGGUGAUGAAGGCCUUCGGGUUGUAAAGCCCUGUUGGGGGGGAAGAUAAUGACGGUACCCCCUGAGGAAGCCCCGGCUAACUACGUGCCAGCAGCCGCGGUAAGACGUAGGGGGCGAGCGUUGUCCGGAAUUACUGGGCGUAAAGGGCGUGUAGGCGGCUUUUCAAGUCGGCUGUGAAAUUCCCCGGCUUAACCGGGGGGGUGCAGUCGAAACUGAUGGGCUUGAGUGCAGGAGAGGGUGGUGGAAUUCCCGGUGUAGCGGUGACAUGCGUAGAUAUCGGGAGGAACACCGGUGGCGAAGGCGACCUCCUGGCCUGUUACUGACGCUGAGGCGCGAAAGCUGGGGGAGCAAACAGGAUUAGAUACCCUGGUAGUC